UACAGGGGUCUCAAGCGUUGUUCGGAUUCAUUGGGCGUAAAGAGCUCGUAGGCGGCUCGGUAAGUCGGGUGUGAAACCUCCAGGCUCAACCUGGAGACGCCACCUGAUACUGCUGUGGCUAGAGUCCGGUAGGGGAGUGUGGAACUCCUGGUGUAGCGGUGAAAUGCGCAGAUAUCAGGAAGAACACCAGCGGCGAAGGCGGCACUCUGGGCCGGAACUGACGCUGAGGAGCGAAAGCGUGGGUAGCAAACAGG
rnacentral:rRNA from 1 species